rnacentral:rRNA from 1 species
UGAAGUUAUGUAGGGCAGAUGGUGGAUGCCUUGGUACCAGGAGCCGAUGAAGGACGUGUGAGGCCGCGUUAGGCCUGGGGGAGUUGCCAGCAGAGCUGUGAUCCCAGGAUGUCCGAAUGGGGAAACCCACCUAGAGUCAUGUCUAGGUACUCCUGCCUGAAUAUAUAGGGCAGUGAGGGGGAACGCCGGGAAGUGAAACAUCUCAGUACCGGCAGGAAGAGAAAACAAAAGUGAUUCCGUGAGUAGUGGCGAGCGAAAGCGGAUUUAGCCUAAACCGUGUAUGCGUGAUACCUGUCAGGGGUUUCAUACACGGGGUCGUGAGGCUUUCCUUGGCGUAUCUGACAGUGCGCCCAGAAGUGAUAAAACCGCAGGUUAGGCGAACCCGAGUGAAUGCGGGACCGUAGAGGGUGAAAGUCCUGUAGCCGAAAAUCUGUGGUCUUCUGUGGAGGGUUCUCGAGUAGCCGCGAACUCCUGUAAUUUGCGGUGAAUUUGCCAGGACCACCUGGUAAGGCUGAAUACUCCCUGGUGACCGAUAGCGGAUUAGUACCGUGAGGGAAUGGUGAAAAGUACCCCGGGAGGGGAGUGAAAUAGUACCUGAAACCAUCUGCCUGCAAUCCGUCAGAGCCUAGAACAUCCUCGUUAGAGGGUUAUGGUGAUGGCGUGCCUUUUGAAGAAUGAGCCUGCGAGUUAGUGGUAUGUGGCGAGGUUAACCCGGGUGGGGUAGCCGUAGCGAAAGCGAGUCUGAAUAGGGCGUUUUAGUCGCAUGCUCUAGACCCGAAGCGGGGUGAUCUAGCCAUGGGCAGGAUGAAGCGACGGUAAGACGUCGUGGAGGUCCGAACCCACCAACGUUGAAAAGUUGGGGGAUGACCUGUGGUUAGGGGUGAAAGGCCAAUCAAACUCCGUGAUAGCUGGUUCUCCCCGAAAUGCAUUUAGGUGCAGCGUUACGUGUUUCUUGCCGGAGGUAGAGCUACUGGAUGGCCUAGGGGCCCUACCAGGUUACCGAAGUCAGCUAAACUCCGAAUGCCGGUAAGUUAGAGCGUGGCAGUGAGACGGCGGGGGAUAAGCUUCGUCGUCGAGAGGGAAACAGCCCAGAUCACCGGCUAAGGCCCCUAAGCGUGUGCUAAGUGGUAAAGGAUGUGGGAUCGCAUAGACAACCAGGAGGUUGGCUUAGAAGCAGCCACCCUUGAAAGAGUGCGUAAUAGCUCACUGGUCAAGUGGUUCCGCGCCGACAAUGUAGCGGGGCUCAAGCACACCGCCGAAGCCGUGGCAAUCAGAAUUUAGAUCCGCCCACAUUAGCGUGUGGGUGCAGUUUUCUGGUUGGGUAGGGGAGCGUCGUAUGUGGGGUGAAGCGGCAGCGUGAGCUAGCCGUGGACUGCAUACGAGUGAGAAUGCAGGCAUGAGUAGCGAAAGAAGGGUGAGAAACCCUUCCGCCGGAUGACCAAGGGUUCCAGAGUCAAGCUAAUCUGCUCUGGGUGAGUCGGGACCUAAGGCGAGGCCGAGAGGCGUAGUCGAUGGACAACGGGUUGAUAUUCCCGUACCCGCGAAACAGCGCCCACGCCGAACAUCACGGUACUAACCUCCAGCGAAAGGUGAAGCCUUCGGGUGGAACCAAUCAAUGUUGGGAUCUUCGUGGUUUGUAGGUGAGUGAUGGGGUGACGCAGGAAGGUAGCUGUACCCAGGUGGUGGAUAUUCCUGGGGUAAGCGUGUAGCCCGCCAUGUAGGCAAAUCCGCAUGGCAUAUAAGGGUGAGACGUGAUGCCGAGCCGUUUUGGUGAAGUCAGUGAUCCUAUGCUGCCGAGAAAAGCCUCUAGCGAUGCUGUGAGCGGCCCGUACCCGAAACCGACACAGGUGGUCAGGUAGAGAAUACCGAGGCGAUCGGGCGAACUGUGGUUAAGGAACUCGGCAAAUUGCCCCCGUAACUUAGGGAGAAGGGGGGCCCCGGCUGGUGACGAGAUUUACUCUCCGAGCUGGUGGGGGUCGCAGAGAGCAGGGGGAAGCGACUGUUUACUAAAAACACAGGUCCAUGCCAAGCCGUAAGGCGCUGUAUAUGGACUGACGCCUGCCCGGUGCUGGAACGUUAAAAGGACCUGUUAGCCCGCAAGGGCGAAGCGGAGAAUUGAAGCGCCAGUAAACGGCGGUGGUAACUAUAACCAUCCUAAGGUAGCGAAAUUCCUUGUCGGGUAAGUUCCGACCUGCACGAAUGGCGUAACGACUUCCCCACUGUCUCAACCACAGGCCCGGCGAAAUUGCAGUACGAGUAAAGAUGCUCGUUACGCGCGGCAGGACGGAAAGACCCCGGGACCUUCACUAUAGCUUGACAUUGAUAUCCGGCAUUGCCUGUGUAGGAUAGGUGGGAGCCUAUGAAGCCAUCACGCCAGUGGUGGUGGAGGCAGCGUUGAAAUACCACUCUGGCAGUUUUGGGUAUCUAACCACGGACCGUGAUCCGGUUCUGGGACAGUGUCUGGUGGGUAGUUUAACUGGGGCGGUUGCCUCCUAAAAGGUAACGGAGGCGCCCAAAGGUUCCCUCAGCCUGGUUGGCAAUCAGGUGUUGAAUGUAAGUGCAUAAGGGAGCUUGACUGCGACACUGACGGGUGGAGCAGGGACGAAAGUCGGGACUAGUGAUCCGGCACCGGCAUGUGGAAGCGGUGUCGCUCAACGGAUAAAAGGUACCCCGGGGAUAACAGGCUGAUCUUCCCCAAGAGUCCAUAUCGACGGGAUGGUUUGGCACCUCGAUGUCGGCUCGUCGCAUCCUGGGGCUGGAGUAGGUCCCAAGGGUUGGGCUGUUCGCCCAUUAAAGCGGUACGCGAGCUGGGUUUAGAACGUCGUGAGACAGUUCGGUCCCUAUCCGCCGCGCGCGCAGGAAACCUGAGAAGGGCUGUCCCUAGUACGAGAGGACCGGGACGGACGAACCUCUAGUGUGCCAGUUGUCCCGCCAGGGGCACGGCUGGUUAGCCACGUUCGGAAGAGAUAACCGCUGAAAGCAUCUAAGCGGGAAGCACGCUUCAAGACCAGGUCUCCCACCCACGCAAGUGGGGUAAGGCCCCCAGAAGACCACUGGGUAGAUAGGCCAGAACUGUAAGCCCAGCAAUGGGUUCAGGUGACUGGUACUAACCGGCCGAGGACUUCAACA